CGUCUCGUCCUGGAUGUGAGCUCACCACAGACAGCAGCCAUUUCCCUGUUCGAGAAAGC
ensembl:miRNA